rnacentral:rRNA from 1 species
UACGGAGGAUCCAAGCGUUAUCCGGAUUUAUUGGGUUUAAAGGGUGCGUAGGCGGACUGAUAAGUCAGUGGUGAAAGCCUGUUGCUUAACAACAGAACUGCCAUUGAUACUGCCAGUCUUGAGUACAGUUGAGGUAGGCGGAAUGUGUCAUGUAGUGGUGAAAUACUUAGAUAUGACACAGAACACCGAUUGCGAAGGCAGCUUGCUAAACUGUAACUGACGCUGAGGCACGAAAGCAUGGGGAGCAAACAGG